CCUACGGGAGGCAGCAGUGAGGAAUAUUGGGCAAUGCCCGAAAGGGUGACCCAGCAACGCCGCGUGGAGGAUGAAGUCCUUCUGGACGUAAACUCCUUUUAGAGGGGACGAAAAGCCCGAUUUGUCGGGAAUUGACGGCACCCUCAGAAAAAGCACCGGCUAACUACGUGCCAGCAGCCGCGGUAAUACGUAGGGUGCAAGCGUUGUCCGGAUUCACUGGGUGUAAAGGGUGCGCAGGCGGGCUCUUAAGUCAAAGGUGAAAUCUCUCGGCUUAACCGAGAAAUUGCCUUUGAUACUGAGAGCCUUGAGUACGGGAGAGGGAGAGGGAAUUCCAGGUGUAGCGGUGAAAUGCGUAGAUAUCUGGAGGAACACCGGAGGCGAAGGCGGCCCCCGGGCCUGUUCCUGAGGCUCAGGCACGAAAGCGUGGGGAGCAAACGGGAUUAGAUCCCCGGGUAGU
rnacentral:rRNA from 1 species